ACCACUGACCGUUGACUGUACC
rnacentral:ncRNA from 3 species